CCUACGGGCGGCAGCAGUGAGGAAUAUUGGUCAAUGGACGAGAGUCUGAACCAGCCAAGUAGCGUGAAGGAUGACUGCCCUACGGGUUGUAAACUUCUUUUAUAUAGGAAUAAAAUGUUCCACGUGUGGCAUUUUGUAUGUACCAUAUGAAUAAGGAUCGGCUAACUCCGUGCCAGCAGCCGCGGUAAUACGGAGGAUCCGAGCGUUAUCCGGAUUUAUUGGGUUUAAAGGGAGCGUAGGUGGAUUGUUAAGUAAGUUGUGAAAGUUUGCGGCUCAACCGUAAAAUUGCAGUUGAAACUGGCAGUCUUGAGUACAGUUGAGGUAGGCGGAAUUCGUGGUGUAGCGGUGAAAUGCUUAGAUAUCACGAAGAACUCCGAUUGCGAAGGCAGCUCACUAGACUGCAACUGACACUGAUGCUCGAAAGUGUGGGUAUCAAACAGGAUUAGAUACCCCUGUAGUC
rnacentral:rRNA from 1 species